GACGGCAGCAGAAGCUGCGCUUUUAGGUUUAUUACUUCCAAAUAUAAAUAUAACGUUUUAAACUCUGCUCUCCUCCUUUCUUCUUCCUCGCCGCUUUGCCUCCUCAGCUCACUGGUGAUCAGGGAAUGGGAUAUUGAAGCAGGAAGCCUUGUCAUGGAAUAGGAUGGUACUUAAUAGACAACAGCAGACAUUUUCUUUGAGUGUUACUAUCAAUGGCUUGGUGUGAGUCUGUAUUUUAAUAUGGCUCCUUGUCAAUCACUAAUGGAUGUCAAUUCAGAGAAUCAAUCACAUCACACAAGAAAAGUCACACCUGAGAGUGAGAAGAGUUCCUUGAAUAAUGCAGACGGGUAUCAUGUGAAGUGCAUGACUAGUUGUGAGGAUGUCAAUCGGACUGUAUUUCCAUUGGAUGAACAAUCCAAUGCUCUAAAGGGUGCCGAGGACAUAGAGGUUAAUAUAAGUGAUUGUCUAAAUGAAAGUGACUGCAAAUUGACUGAAGCCGAGGACCCGGAUUCAACUGAAUGUUCUAGCUCAUUUGUGAAUACAUCAUCUGACACUGAGAAACAUUGUGGAUUCAGUGAUGCUGAAGUGGAAUCCCAAUUUUUCGGUGAUGAUGAUUUAGGGCCUGGCUGUGAUGCAUUUAGUAGAAUGGCUCAAACAAGAAAGAAGAACUUAACAACUCACUGGAGGAACUUUAUACGACCUCUUAUGUGGCGAUGCAAAUGGACGGAACUGAGAAUUAAGGAAAUUGAGCACCAGGCAUUAAAAUAUUCCAACGAGCUUGCUGCAUAUGAUCAAAGAAAGCUUUCAGGAAUUGAUCCAUCAACAAUAGAAGGUUUUGGUUCAAAAUCAUUGCCAUAUUCUAAUCAAUACUACAGAGAAAAGGCGAUAAAGAGGAGGAAACGUAAGAGAGUUGAAGACACCACAGAUAUAGCAUCAUACAUGUCAGAUCACAACCUUUUUUCUUAUCUUGAAACCAAGAAAGCUAAUUCAGAUGGCACUGCUUUGGCUGAUGAUUUCGGUAGCACAGUUGAGGACCAAAAUGUUGAUAGCAAGAAAAAACUAGAUGUCAAUAACAAUCAACAAACUUUAAAAUUCCAAGAUGAUGAUAAACCCUUGGAGCAGCUUCUUUGGAAAAUUGAGAUGAUGCAUUCUCGAGUUAACAAGCUGAAGGGUCAACUUGAUGUUGUGAUGUCUAAAAAUGCUGCAAAGUUUUCAUCCUCCGAGAAUUUGAGUCUUCUUGUACCUUGUGAUGGACAAACACCUAGUCCUACAUUCUCUCCAGGAAAUGGGGAGGCGAUAUCAGCAGGAGUCAUGUAUAAUCCUGUCCUGCAUAUUUUAGAGUAUGAUGUCAGCGAUCUGGUUAUGCCUGAAAGCGUUAUCUCAAGCUAUGGAGGGGAUUUUCAUGUUCCUGAUAUUAUUGAGAGUACAGUGGGAAUAUUGUCCGGUUCUGAUGUUACCUUCCGCCAGUCACAAAUUGGAGAUUCCUGUGAAGAUACUGUAGAUAAUGUCUUGAUACAUAAUGAAGCUGCUGAAGCAGAAAGGCACACUUUCCUGAUGACUGGUAAUCGAACCAGAGAUGUGCACCAUGAAGCAGAGAUGGUUGAAGAAGUCACUGGUCCUUCUCAAAUUUUGAAAUCAGAAAGUGGUCCAAUGGUGAAACCCACUGGACCUCAGGAGCAGCCAACUCUAGAAUCAUGUUUAGCUGCAGACAUUCAUAUCCCCAGGAACAAGAGAAAGCGUGGGGAACGCAAGGCUUGUUCAGGUGGCUGGAGUAAGCAACAGCCAGGUGAUCCUGACAGCCAAGUCUAGUCGCGAGAUAGACAUGACACAAAGGAGACUGAUCAGGAUACUUUCAGUUUCACCCAAGUUUGCUUUUAGAUGCUACACGAAUUGGCAAGUAGCCGGAAGACUUUCUUUUUCUCGGCUCUUCUUUUCCAGUAACCCUGAAAAGUUUAUCGUAAUCAGAAGACGGGAAAAGGUUGAACUUUAUUAUCGUGUCUCUGGCUGAAUUUGACUGGGGAAGCUUAUUAUGAUCAUUUCAGGAAUAUAUUUAGUUACCAAAUUUUACUCAAUUCUGUUUCUUUAGUAAUUUCUUAUUGCAAACUAAUCUGCAAUAAUUUGAUUGAGUUGUAAUCCCUAGAGGGGAGUUUGCAACUGUAAUCUUAUAUACAGAUAAGUCGCAACAGAGCUCUUCUCUCUGGAUGAGCAUUAUGUGUCCAACAGAGCACAUCUCAUCCUGGCUCGUCUCUCUUCUGAGCUGCAUCUGCCUUUUAAAAGGGAACAAAGAAGGAUAAACCAGAAAGAUGGAGAGAAUUUUGCUGAGUGAAUUGCAUUAGGUAACUUUUACAUUUGCAUUUCUACUUGUAUAUAUAUUGAAGAGAGCUGCAUGAUAAAUUAUUUACAAUUGUACAUUCCCCUUAAAUUCUGUACAAAAUAGUUAGGCAAUUGUGUGCAUGGAGGUAAUCAAAUGAAACAAAAUAACAGAAUCAUUAUACGAAAUCUGGAGUUAUGCUACUGCAGUCCCUUAUAGGGCUUUGCCUUCUUCCCUUCUAGAACUUUGCCACCUUCGCACAUCUCCGAAUGUUGAUACGUAAGCCAGACUUUUAGCUGUCAUGCUGACUUGACAUCAAUUGUUCAUUUUUUAACAAGGUUAUCUAUCCGGAUGUUGCAGAAAUCUCUGUCAACACAAACAAGAACAGGAGAAAAUGAAAGAAUAUGUGAAUUAGAUAAGGAUAUGUGAAAAUGAUGGUUCGGGUGGGUAAAUUAGGUUCAACUUGAAGAUUUUUUCUAGAACUCAAGAAUUCAAGAAUGGCUGCCCAAUAGGGAAGACCCCCAAGCGAACACUUGAGAUGGUCAGAACGGGCACAUGUUGCCAACCAACUGAUUUCUUUUUCUUAUUGUUCCCCCCUUUAUCAUUCGAAUCCUGUAUUCCUAUUUUCACUUG